UAGGAAGAAAGACUACAAUCAUGAAAAGUGGCUCACAUGAACACUUGACAACUUAAGAAGUAAAAAAUGUUCUUCAAAUAAGCUUUCGUGGAGAACUAAGCCAGUACAACAAGUUUACAUCAGUACAGUCAGUUCAUUGCUGAAUGCUACCAAUAUGGAUUACACCAUUGUACUGUACUUUGUGGAUGAACAGAAGAUUUUUAACAGUAAAUUUAGGAUUUCUGAGUUAAAGUACCUAUCACAGAUGCCUGAAGUCACUGGCUGAUUUCACCUGAGUGCGUGCUGGAAAUAAAGAUGUAUUUGCAGCGCAAGGUCUGAUACUGCCGCCAAACAUGUUUAAUACUCUGCAACAGUGCUCCUUUUAAAAGCAGCAUUCAGGCAACUCUAAUUUCCCAUUUCUCCAGUUAAGGGACAAAGGACAACCCUGGCACCUCCACUUUCCUUCACCCUCAAAUUCCAGGAAGUAACAGUGGCCAAGAAGUACAUCACUCAAAAUCCCACCUGCCUUUCACUCACAGGACAAUCAACCUACUCACAUCAUCUAAACGUUUUUAAUUCUUUAAAUCAAACUUGCUGUGAAAUUAAUUUCGAAAACAAAAUCAAUAAAAGCCUUUCAGGGGUCACA